UACGUAGGGUGCAAGCGUUAUCCGGAUUUAUUGGGCGUAAAGGGUGCGUAGGCGGUCUUGUAAGUUAGAUGUGAAAGCUACAGGCUUAACUUGUAGUUGCGUCUAAAACUGCUUGGCUAGAGGAUGCUAGAGGAAAGCGGAACUCAUGGUGUAGCGGUGAAAUGCGUAGAUAUCUGGAAGAACAACAGUUGCGAAGUCGGUCUCUUGGUCCGUUACUGACGCUCAGGCGCUAAAGCGUGGGGAGCAAACAGU
rnacentral:rRNA from 1 species